AACGUAGGUUCCGAGCGUUAUCCGGAUUUACUGGGCGUAAAGCGCGUUCAGGCGGUUUGGCAAGUCGGGCAUGAAAUCCCUCGGCUCAACCGGGAGAGGUUGUCCGAUACUGCUGGACUUGAGGGCAGUAGAGGGUGGUGGAAUUCCGGGUGUAGUGGUGAAAUGCGUAGAUAUCCGGAGGAACACCAGUGGCGAAAGCGGCCACCUGGACUGCACCUGACGCUGACACGCGAAAGCUAGGGGAGCGAACGGG
rnacentral:rRNA from 1 species